ACAGUUGAGCAUCCAUCACCAUGGAUUCUAUUUUAGAAUAUUAAGGUCAUUACAAAAGUAUCUGUCCACCCUGGGCCAUCACUCACUUGAUACCACGUCCAUCCCUCCUCUGUACACACACCCCCAGGUUGGGGAAAUACUUCUUUUGCACACUAAGGUUUUUGCUGUGACACAGAACCUACCCUGAGGGAACUCAGAAGUCCAGUUGGGGGCCUGGCUUACUAGUAAGACAUGCUCGCUGCACACGUCCAACACCCUGAGUCCCACAAUCAACUCCCGAGGACUGUCCCCUGAAGUGGAAACUUAAGGGUUCUUGGAAAGUCAGUUGAGUCGGAUAGUGUUUUGCUGGGCAAACACUCGAACAUUUCGCUGAAGUGGACACAGAUGUGAAAGGCUAAGGCAGGCUCAUGAAGGAAUGUUUCACUGACGCAGACACAGGAGAGAGGCACGUGAAAGGACACGUGAUGAAGGAUUCUUUGCUAACAGCCUGUGUUGGGCCACCUUACAUUGUGUAGUUGAGCUGCAUUUGUUACGCCAUAGAGAGAAACGCACCGAAAAACCUCUGGCGGUGUGCUGCAAUUUCUUGCCGCUUCCACAGCAGAUUGGCAGAGUGAUGUCAGCUGAGACAGACACAACUGCUCAGUCAAGAUCCGUGGAGGACGUGUGAUGUUCGGAGGGAUAAAUAGGACUUGACAGACAGUGACGGAGACAGAGCUUGGCUUGCUGGUACAGCUAGCUGUGCAACACUGGUCAUGUUACAGGCUGUUGCUAACCCAACUCUACUGAACUGGACUGUUGGUGCAUCCAUGAAGUGUUUGCGAGUGGAUCGAGCUGCUGACCUGUGAGCUGAACUGCUGAUGCCCUGACAACACAGAGGGGAGUUGCUCCAAAGAACCUUUCUAAACAGAGCUGGGGACCGAACCCAGGGCCUUGCGCUUGCUAGGCAAGCGCUCUACCACUGAGCUAAAUCCCCAACCCCUGGGUUCUGAUUUUUAUCAUCCAUUUAAAACUUAUUACGUCUCUGUGUGUGUGUGUGUGUGUGUGUGUGUGUGUAUGUGUAUUCCAUGUCACAGCCUAACUUGUGAGAGUUGACUCUCUCCUUCAAGCUAGUGGGGUCCCUGGGUUUGAACUCCCAAUGUUAGGCUUGGUAACAAGUGCCUUAACCCUGUAAGUCAUCUGGUAGGCUGUGCAUUUUUUCAUUCUGCUAUAUAUUAACUUGUGUGUGUGUGUGUGUGUGUGUGUGUGUGUGUGUGUGUGUAUGCACGCAUGCACACACACUUAUUCUCCAUUUUCCAGGAAUUCUGCGUUGCCUCACAAAGCAUCAUCACUGUCCUCUUAAACUGUCCCCAUUUAUAGUCAGAUAUGUUUGGGUUGGUUUUUCACAUCUCUGCAGUUAGAUUUUUAUAUUCCUUAUCUGAAUUCCAAAAACUGGAGACCAUGUGGCAGCUCAUGCCUUUGAUCCCAACAUUCUUUUUUUUUUUUUUUUUUUUUUUUUUGGUUCUUUUUUUUGGAGCUGGGGACCGAACCCAGGGCCUUGCGCUUCCUAGGUAAGCGCUCUACCACUGAGCUAAAUCCCCAGCCCCUGAUCCCAACAUUCUUGAAGCAGGAGGAUUAGUGUGAGUUCCAGGCACUUCUAGGCUGCAGAGUGAGACUUGUCUUAAAAUCAUCAAAGGGGCUGGAGAUGGCUCAGCAGCUCUGCUCUUCCAGAGGUCCUGAGUUCAAUUCCCAGCAACCACAUGGUGGCUCACAACCAUCUGUAAUGGGAUCCGAUGCCCUCUUCUGGUGUGUCUGAAGACAGCGACAGUGUACUCACAUAAAAUAAUUUAAAAAUACUUUUCUUAAUCAUCGAAGAAAACAGAACCCAGCUCUAGGCCACAGGCCCUGGCUGCCUCUCUAGCUUGGGCCUUGUACUUUUUUUUUCUUUUUGGAGACAGGGUCUCUCUGUGUAGCCCUGGCUGUCCUGGAACUCACUCUGUAGACCAAGCUGGCCUUAAAAUCAGAAAUCCACCUGCCUCUGCCCCCUGAGUGCUGGGAUUAGAGGUGUGCACCACCACUGCCUGGCCUGGGCCUCGUGCUUGCUAAACCUCAUUUUCCUCAUUUAUACGGUAGAAAAAGAUGAACUUGGCUGCGUGUGUGACUGCAACCCUGAGAGAUGGGAAGGGCAUCCAGAAAGCUCCAAGUCACGGCAGCCGUCCAUCCGCCCUCUGUUCCAGUCUUCAUUUAUAGGCCUAAGGUGGAAUCGUCAAUCUGUCCAGGCACCCACUAAGUAGCCAGCCCUCUCGGCCCCUCCUUCUCCUCUGCCUUGACCAACUGAUAGGAAGCCCAAGCAGAUAUGCGAAUUGCUCUGACCUUGAAACUCCUGAGCCCCUUGCUUCCACAUCUUCCCACCAGAAUUACAGGUGUGACCUACCGCACCUAUGUAAGUUGUUUGUUUGUUUGUUUGUAUUUAGAGGGGAGCAUUUUUUUUUUUUUUGGUUCUUUUUUUUUGGAGCUGGGGACCGAACCCAGGGCCUUGCGCUUCCUAGGCAAGCGCUCUACCACUGAGCUAAAUCCGCUUCCUAGGCAAGCGCUAGCGCUCUACCACUGAGCUAAAUCUGCUUCCUAGGCAAGCGCUCUACCACUGAGCUAAAUCCCCAACCCCGAGGGGAGCAUUUUUUAAUUUUGUUUUAUAUACAUGGUGUUUUUACGUGUGUCAGUGCACUGUGUUGUGCAGUGUCCACAGAGGCCAGAAGAUGGCGAUGUAUCCUUUGAAGAUGUUUGUGAGUCACCCUAUGAGUGCUGGGGUCCUCUUCCAGCCGCCCUGCUUCAGUAUGAGACAGCAUCUUGGUGUCUGGCUCAGGUUGGCUGGGAACUUAGGUCGCCCAAGCUCACCUCAAACUUUCAGAAAUCCUCCUGCCUCAGCCUUAGUAUGGACACUGAAAGUCUGUGACAACACACAGCUCUUCGUUUAUUUUAUUUUAUUUUUCUCACAAGGCUGAAGAUGGUUCCCAGGACUAUUGCUUUUUAGGCAAGCACUUUGCCACGCCCCGAGUCCCUCACUGGGGAAUUCUAGGCAAAGGCUCUACUACUGAGCCACCCCCCCCCAAGUCACUCACUGGGGGAUUCUAGGCAGGGGCUCUACCACUGAGCCACACCCCCAGCCCCUCACUGGGGGAUUCUAGGCAGGGGCUCUACCACUGAGCCAUGCCCCCAGCCCCUCACUGGGGGAUUCUAGGCAGGGGUUCCACCACUGAGCCACGCCCCCAGCCCCUUACUGGGGGAUUCUAGGCAGGGGCUCUACCACUGAGCCACGCCCCCAGCCCCUUACUGGGGGAUUCUAGGCAGGGCUCUACAACUGGGCCACGCCCCCAGUCCCUCCCUGGGGGAUUCUAGGCAGGGGCUCUACCACUGACCCACACCCUCAGCCCUCACUGUGGGAUUCUAGGCAUGGGGCUCUACCACUGAGCCACGCCCCCAGCCCCUUACUGGGGGAUUCUAGGCAGGGGCUCUACCACUGAGCCACGCCCCCAGCCCCUCACUGGGGGAUUUUAGGCAGGGGCUCUACCACUGAGCCACACCCCCAGCCCCUCACUGGGGGAUUUUAGGCAGGGACUCUACCACUGAGCCACGCCUCCAGCUCCUCACUGGGGGAUUCUGGGCAGGGGCUCUACCACUGAGCUACAUCCCUAGUCUUUAAAUUAUUUGCUUUCUAUCUUCAGUACCAUUCAAACUUUUCUUCCUUUUUCAGACUGUGGGACCCAGGCCUGUCUGUCUUGUAGCUGUGCCCCUCAGUGCCUGGCUCCUGGUCUACAUCGCAACCCCAUCUUCUCUGAGAUGCAUUCCUAUCCAGAGGGAUUCCUGUCCAGCUACAGGGAAUGAGGGCUUUUUUCCUAAACUUGACCACACCUUCUAAUAUCUCCAGUGGUAACCCAGAGGUUGCCAAGCACCUCGCUUUCUUACAGGAAGAAAUCAUUUCCUGAAAUAACCGGGAAAUUAGAAGCACUCGUAGCCAAGAAAGAAUUGAAGACUGAACAUUUUUACUUCUUGAACCUCAUAUACAGGUUCAAGAGAGUCCUGACAGGUAGCAAAAGACUUCUAUUUUAUAUUUUAAGUGUGUGUGUGUGCGCGCGCGUGCGCGCGCGUACACGCCUUAGAGCAAGUAUGAGGUCAGGGGACAACUUGCAGGAACAUGUUCUCUCAUUCCACCACGAGUGCAGGGCAUCAUUAACAAUUCAUCAGACUUGAGAGAAAGCUCACCGAGCCGCCUCGCUGUGCACCAAGACCUAAACAUUACAGUACAAAAAAAGAUGCGCUCUUGUUUGUUUACAACUUAUGGAAAACUCACAAUUUGAAGUUGGGUCUUUUGAUUAUGGGUUAAUAAAACAGAACUUCAUGUAAAUAAUUGUGAGAGCCCCCCUCCCCCCUCCCCCUCGUUCCCCUCCCCCGUCCCCCCGUUGUGGAGAGAAAGAGCCUGGGAGUGGGUGCAGUGAGAAAACUCAGAGAUUCAGCCUAUAAAGUGUCCCUCCCAUAAUGAGAACUAAUGCCGAGCGGUGCAGGGAAACCCCAUCCUCUCCUGGCAAUGCCGGAGUUCGCCCGCCCACCGCCCAGACCUCCAAGAAACUGUCUGGAACAUGCACUGGGAUAAACACUGAGCAACCUGGGAACAGGCCAGCAAGGCCCUUCGUAACGGGAGCUUGGAGGCUGGGGCCUGAGAACAGUCUGCUUCCACGCUGGUGGGAGCACAGAGGUGGAGCGAAAGAACACGUCGCAAAUAUAGAUCACACCAACUAACUGCCCCUGGCGUCCAAGCUUCCAUACCAAAAAACCCAUUCCCAGCCCUCAGGGGUCCUCCAGCGACCUCUUAAUCCACUCCCCUUCCUCCAAGGUCACGGACACUGUGACCUCUUUUAUUAUUACAUUCGUUGCUUUAUUGGGGUGCGGGGUGGGAGGGAGGUGUGCGUCUGAGCACAUAGAGUCACAUUUCUCCUACUUCGGAAGUCCCAGGGAUAGGGCUCGGGUCC